rnacentral:lncRNA from 1 species
UCGCCCGGAGUCCGCCUGGCGCGCGCAGUACCAGCGGCUCCCCGCGCUCUCGGCCGCCGGGACACUCUCCGCCCCGGACGCCGUCCAGAUCCUGAGAACAGGUGGUCUCGGAGAGAAGCGCGACAGUCGCCUCUCACUCACCCAGAAGAUGAAGUUAAAUCCGAAGAGCAGGGUGAAGAGGUCCUUCUCAAUAUCCUUUACAGUUUUCUCUUCCUCACCCCUGCAGGAAGUUUCCUUAGCAUUCUUCAUUGCAAAAGCAAACCAUACUUAUUACAGAAACAUCAGAAAAUAUCAAGAAGCAAAAAGAAUAGGACCUGGGCUCCAUUCCCAGCACAUCUGUAACUCCAGUUCCAGAGGAUCUAACACCUUCUCCUGGCCUCUGUGAGCACAAGACAUGCAGAUCUCAUUAAGGAGCCCAGAGUCUGACUCUGGAUCCUCUUGCUUCAUCCUUUUGAGAAUUGGAAUUCCUCCCUCCCUCCCUCCCUUGAGUUCCAGUCCUGACUCCUUUGGUGAUGAACAGCAACAUGGAAAUGUAAGCUGAAUAAACCCUUUCCUCCCC